CCCUUAGAUGUCCUGGGCCGCACGCGCGUUACACUGAUGCAUUCAACGAGCUUAUAACCUUGGCCGAGAGGCCUGGGCAAUCUUGUUAACGUGCAUCGUGAUAGGGAUAGAUUAUUGAAAUUAUUAAUCUUGAACGAGGAAUUCCUAGUAAACGCAGAUCAUCAAUCUGCAUUGAUUACGUCCCUGCCCUUUGUACACACCGCCCGUCGCACCUACCGAUUGGAUGGUCCGGUGAAGCCUCGGGAUUGUUGUUCUUGCCGCUUUAUUGUGGCGUGACCGCGAGAACUUGUCUAAACCUUAUCAUCUAGAGGAAGGUGAAGUCGUAACA
rnacentral:rRNA from 1 species